rnacentral:lncRNA from 1 species
UUCCUCCUCCCGACGCCGGACGCCUGCAGCGUCAUCGCAGCCCGACCUCCCGCGGCAGCCGACCGCCGCAGUCGCUCUGCGCCCUUAAGAUCUCCCUCGCGAGCGCCUGGUGGCCCGUCAACAGGAGCCCGUUCAAGACCCGGUUGAAGGUGAGCCUCCGCGGCACGUACCCCUGCUCCACCAUCUCCACCAGCAGGUGCCCCGCGGUCAGCAUGUCCUCCGCCCUCCUCCUGGCGAACAUGGCCCGAAUCAGCACGUUGUACGUGUCCAGGUUCGGCAGGCACCCUCCGCCCUCCUCCCCCGCCGCCAGCCCGCGGAACAGACGAAGGCCCUCGUCGAUCUCCCCGGCCUCGCAUCGAUGGCGGAUCAGGAUGUUGUAGGUCUGCACGCUCGGAUCGCAACCCUCGCGCCUCAUUCUCUCCAGGAAGCCCGCCGCCCCUUCCGCCGCCCCGGCGUGGCAGAGCCCCCUGAUGAUCAGAUUGUAAGUGACGCAGUUUGGAGUGUACCCCUUCCCCACCAUCUCUUCAAACACCGCGAGGGCGUUGCCAACCGUGUCCUUCUUGCAGAUGACUUGGAUGAGGGCGUUAUAGGUCGCCACGGACGGCAGGCACCCCUGCCUGGUCAUUUCCCCGAACAUCUUCCGGGCCCUGCAAAUCUGGCCGGCCAUCCCCAGACCGUGCACCAGUAUCGUGUAGGACACCACAUCAGGUCG